AAUGAACGCUGGCGGCGUGCUUAACACAUGCAAGUCGAACGAGGCUGAGGGGGCAACUCCUCAGUUUAGUGGCGGACGGGUGAGUAACACGUGGGUAACCUGCCCGGAAGUGGGGAAUAC
rnacentral:rRNA from 1 species